CUCUUGCGGCUGCUGCAGCGGCUGCUGAGCUAAGCUGCUGUCACCCGGCCCAGUCCGCGUGCCUUCCGCCGCAGCCCCGCGCCCAGGUCUCUUUGCCUCUUGCCCGGCCGGCGUGGCGGGCUGGAGCAGGGGCACGCGCAGGUCGUAGUUGUAGAUGGUCCUGAGCCGCAGAACUUGCGGCGGGCCCAGCAGUUCCGCCGCCUCCAUAAGCGCGGGCAGGUGUGACGUCGUGCCCCGGAUCAUGACCUCCUGCACUUCCACGUUCCAGCACCGCUUCAGGAGCUCCGUAAUCGCAUCCAGCUGCUGAUCAGUCGCCUGUAUACGCGCGUCGUGCUCCGUGGCGGGCAGCAGCAACCGCCGCACGACCAGCCGCCGGAGCAUGCUGUCCUUGGCACGCAGGUGUGGCAGGAGCGCCUUGUCCGCCACUUCACCCACUUUCCACAGCGGUAUGCUGCGAAACAUAUCCUCUUCGUCCACCACCAAGGCGACCUCCUUCAGCUGCCCCGCCUCGAAGACCGCGUCCAUGCUCCAUGACAGGAUGGAUAGCGUGGUGAGGCUGGGCGGCACGUGGUCAAACAGGCGCAGCAGGCCGGCUUCGUCCAAAGCAUCGCCUGUGAGGGGGUCGUUGAUGAACCGGAGCGCUCGGAGGCUGCGGAGCGAGGCGAUACCCGCCGCGAUUGCGUCCGUGACCAAUUCAGACCUGGUUGCGACUAUGACCAGCUGCUGAAGGUUGCCAAGCCAGGCGCUGCCGCCGCUGUCGUAUGCGUGCCUGCGCUGCUGCACCUCGCCCAGCCCCCCCAGCAGGCCCCAGCUGGGCAGUGUGAGCUUCACCAGCUGCGGCAGCCGGUCCAGGCCGCCGCGGAUGAUGGCGGUCAGCUGAGCAGCGUUCGUCUCCGGCACCACAGUCCGGGGGGAGCCCGCAAAGCUCAGCUCCUGCGGGCGCACAGGCAGCAGCAAUGGCGCGGAGGCUCGGCAAACAGACGGCGAGGCGAGGCAGCGCUGGUCAGGUGCUGAAGACUGCUGAAGGCAUCACGAUUCGGGAGCGUCUGACGGGAGCGUAACAACCCGGGUGGGCAGGUGGAAAGCGCACCUUGAGGUUGGGAAACCAUAGGGCGAUGCAAGCUACCAGGGAAGCGGUGAGCACAGGGCCCAUGUCCAGUACGGCCCAGUACAAGCGCAGGGACGUUAUCUUCCGGAGGCUGGCGGGAGGCUGGCUGCCCGCCCACGAAACCCAAUUGUCGGUGAUGUGCGGAGCGUCGUCUGCUUGCAGACCUUCACUGCCGAUGCAGAAACACAGAGUAUCUACGCGGUGCCAGAGCGCCAGCGAGGGUGGCGUGCUUUCAUCCAGGGUCUCAAGCGGAUCAGUAAGUUUGAGAGAUUGGACUGAUCCGUCGAUGACUUGGCGCAAGUCCUUGCACACCAGGCGAGCUGUGGCAAUGCAGUUAUACUUGCGCAGUGUUUCUACGAGGGCGUCGGUCGCUUCGAGGCUAACUGCGCGAAGCGUGGCCAACAAGGUAUUUGAAGGCGCCAUACUAUGGCAUAAUGUGUCUGCAGGCAUCAAAGAAUAGCUUCGCAACCUUGGCGGCGCAGGACCUUCCGACCUGAAAUCCAAAUGACGCAGAACUCCGUCAUGGCAGAACUCGCAAGCACGCUACUCACGCCUGAAUACGCCCAUGGCUGCCGCGAACAACCAAUGUGCGCCAAUGUGCUACAUGGACUUGCUGGACAGUGGACACGGCACUCACACGAACCGUGCCACUCUGCGCAGUGCUGGGAGCAGCUGGGAGCAGCUUGCUCCCCUGAUCCCCUUGCGUGCGAGGGUGCGACCUCAACUUUGGACAAAGCGCUGGACGCCACGUCAGGGCUCUCCUAGGCUGUCGAAGCAUAUCUACGGCGCGUGUGAAAGCCGUGACGACCGCACCAGUCAUCCAGCUACUGUUGCAUUUGGUGCUCAUCCGUGGACGCUGGUCAUCUUCCUGCAGGUGCGGUGCGGCUCUGCAUCGCGAGCGUGUGUGGCGUUAUGGUGUGUCUGUGUGGUGCUAUCGCCUGGCCGGGCGCCCGGAGCGUGAGGAAUGCGCAUCAGCAAACUUCCAGCCAGCCAGCAACUUGUCGGUACAGUAACUCCGGCGUUCGACCAGCCAUGCACUCCUGCUCUGCCGCUGCAAACUGUUUGCUGUCUGCUUGGGGUACGGGCGUCAGCUGCACCCUAUGGGACCUCGCCAACCUGCCUGAACCCUGUCCCAUCACACAUCCAGCUAAUGCGCGGUACCGACCCUGCGUCAGCUGCCUUGUUCGUGCAUGUUUAAUUAAAGUCACUGCGGAGCACCUCCGUCCGCCACAGCCCAUUGCUGGCAGCGUGGGGUACAGCCAGGUGGACAGGGGGUUGCAGGCCUGGAGCUUCAAGUCCACUAACCAAGGCACCAAGUUUGCCGCACACGUGUUUCCCCGGUGUUUGCAUAUGUACACGUGCCAUAGGCUCCAACUCGGUGUGCUGUGGGGACGACGUCGCACGCUAAUCAAGCCGUCAGCCUGUCAGUGGUAAAAACAAGGAACCGUCGGUGGUCUGCGGAGCCACCGGAGCGCCCCAUCAAACACAAGCACCGCCAACAGGACCCGGGGGAGUGGGGUGGGGGCGUAGGAAACAAAGUGCCAGACCCCAUGCCCCGAAAGGCCGAAAUCCCCCGGGACCCCCCUUGAGGGGACGACCGACCCCCCCACGGACAAAACCUCAUUGUUUAGGGCUUAAAACCCCUCCAUUUAAUACCAAAGUGGUGCCAAUCGACUCCUCUUGACGAGCACUAUCACGGUGUGCCUUCAGCGGUCCUGUUCUGAGACUUCGGUCACACGCGGGAUCCUAUCCAUGGAAAUCCUCUCGACUCAGCCCACACCGCGCUAAAAUCUCAUCCGUGUGACGGUUGGACAGUGUGCAUCGGCAGCCUUGUCAGACGUAAAUACAUGCGCACCAGCGCUAGAGAGCCCAGCCGUGGCAGUGCGCAUGUGUUGGACGUCAAGACAUGUCCCAACAAACAUGUCCACGCCUGCACGUGCAACUUAGCCUUCCCAAUGCCCCCUUUUAACCAGGACGACGACCGAUCCCCCGACUUUGAGGGCCCAGAACUUCCUCACCAGACACCCCAUAACAAAACUAAACUUCGGGUGCUGGGACUGUCCCCUCUGUAACAUCCGCAUUCAUAACAAAAGUAAAAGCACGUGCAUAAUGCUCUCUAAAAGCUCUGUAACAUUGAGCAUGGGGUAAGAACCUGAGCUUUCUACCCCCCCCUGCCAGGACCACCACCUUACCUGACCAUCACCACGGCAGCACGACAAAAUCUGUGCCCGGGGACGGGCAGGCGUCAUGGCACGAGGUGACGAGGAAGGUGGCUCCCCGCACGGCUCCCCGUCUCAAGGGAAAAGUGGGCUGCGCCCAUGCCACGUUGGCCGUCGUCUGAGCCCCUGAGCCAGGGGUUGAAACUGCGUGGCCUUCCCGGCAUGGCGGGGUUCGGUUUGCACAGGCACCGCCCGCCAUGCAUUUGUCCAGCCGCGUUCCACUCGCAAGCACACGCACAGCGGGCACAGGACAACUACAUACAUGCUAUGCUAAGCUCGCCAGCAAAGACCGCAAACCAGCACCAGCAGGUCUCGACAUGGGUGCCGGCGCCGCUUCGCGGUCCAUAUGGACCAUAUAUGGGCUCACAGCAGUAGACGCCGUUUUAGCUGUCCGCCAACCGUCCCCAACAACCUCCCUUGGUCCCAAAUGCUGCGCUCAGCGAGUUGCUCAGCCACCACCCCACGAGCGCCCCCCAUCAUCACGGUUCGCAGAAAGCCGGCGAUUGGGGACUGCGCGCGCAUAGUACUGUCCGCAGUACGAUGAAUGCAAAGCAAGGCACAGGAAGCCUACACCUGACUUCCCUCGCACCACGGCAGGACCAUGCAGUCUGUGACCACAGAUAGACAGGCUUGGCGUCAUAGCACCGAGGCAUACUCUUAACGAAGACCUACCACAGCCUACAGAACCUCAAGGCCAACACAACACGCAAGCCCGCCACCAGGAAACGGAGAUAAGGCGAGGAAUAAGCUGAGUCAGGCGUACUCCGCAACACAGCAUAACCGUCACCCCUUCCAGAUAAGGGGGAGCGGCGGGCACGUUAUCCAAGUCCCACGGGCGAAAUACCUAGGACGACAACCCAACUGAAGCCGCAGCCGCCAUACACAAUACUGAAGCACACGACACCGCAGAUCGUCACGCCCACUUCAAUUCAGACCAAGCAUUUCCAUCCGUUGCCGCCCUGCACCCGUGGCAAACAGAUAGAGCAGCGAGGCAUAUUACGCCGCACGCCGGCUGGUGAGCCCCUGCGUGUGGACCAGCUGCGUGGACUAGCCGUGUGCACCAGCCAAUCAGCCAUGUAUACCAGCCAAAGCUCACACUACGUGUAUCACAUGAUACUGCCUUUGCACAUCCUGCUGCACCUGCACCAUGUUAUGACACACCAGGCCACACCAAUCCGCGUGCCAUGCCCAAGGCCCAACACCAGCCAGCGCCCCGCCAUCAAACUUGACGGCAACGUUGGUUUAGAAGUGCGCCAAUCUCUAGGUAAUACGCUGGUCACAUAAUCAGAAAAUGAAUGGCUUGCAGCUCGGCAGCUCCUCCGCCAGGACCUUGCCCAGCUGCUGCAGCCACUCCACCUGCUCCUGAAGUGACGGCGGCACCACAGCGGCAGCAUGGUCGCCCGCUCCAGUGCCGGCGGCGCCGGCGCCCGCGCUUUCGCCCCUGCCGCUCCCCGCCGCCGCCCAGGUCUCGUCCAGUUCCUGCAAACAGCAAGUCACCGUGCAGACCACAACAUCACCUGAGCUUGCACCACGGGGCCCACAGGGACUUCCGCAAGGCACCCCAUCGGCAGCUGCAGAACAUGCACCGACAACGACGCCGGCGGCGCAACAGCGCCUGUCCCGCCCGAUACCGUAGCUGGCACCACGACAUGCCACAUGCCCGCCCGGCACGCGGCACACACGGCGGUCCACGCAGCAGCAGGCGCACCUGCUGAAUGCACCAAACGAGGGGCGCCGGCAGCUUCAAAAAGCCCGGGCAGCCCGGGUACCGCUCCACCGCCACCCACGCCGCGUCCAGCUGCACCUCUGGCUCCACGGACCGCACCGCGGCCUGCAGUGCCGCUGCGGCGCCGGCCUCGCCGUCCGCCUGCAGCAGCAGCACCGGACCGCCCAGCGCCCUGGGCACCACCUGAUACUGGCCGUGCCGCCUCUUUGCCGGCGCCGCUGCCGCCUGGGCCAGCCACUUGACCCAGCCGUCCACCACCUCCGGGGCCUGGGCCAGGCCCGCCACGAGUGAGCCGCGCAGCACCAGUAGCCGAGCCGUCUCUGGAAGCGUCCUGGACUCGUCAGCAUUGGGCUGCUCGAUCUGUGGAUGUGCAAGCAGUCGCUGCGUCGCCCGCGCCACAACUGCCUGUGGCGGAGUGGACAGAGCCAGCGGCAGGCCCGAUGGCGGCUGCUGCACUUGCGGCUGCUGCUCUUGCGGCUGCUGCAGCGGCUGCUGAGCUAAGCUGCUGUCACCCGGCCCAGUCCGCGCGCUGUCCGCCGCCGCCCCCCGCCCAGGCCACUUUGCGUCUUGCCCGGCCGGCGUGGCGGGCUGGAGCAGGGGCACGCGCAGGUCGUAGUUGUAGAUGGUCCUGAGCCGCAGAACUUGCGGCGGGCCCAGCAGUUCCGCCGCCUCCAUAAGCGCGGGCAGGUGUGACGUCGUGCCCCGGAUCAUGACCUCCUGCACUUCCACGUUCCAGCACCGCUUCAGGAGCUCCGUAAUCGCAUCCAGCUGCUGAUCAGUCGCCUG
rnacentral:lncRNA from 1 species